GAUGAACGCUGGCGGCGUGCCUAAUACAUGCAAGUCGAGCGAACGGACGAGAAGCUUGCUUUUCUGAUGUUAGCGGCGGACGGGUGAGUAACACGUGGAUAACCUACCUAUAAGACUGGGAUAACUUCGGGAAACCGGAGCUAAUACCGGAUAAUAUUUUGAACCGCAUGGUUCAAUAGUGAAAGACGGUCUUGCUGUCACUUAUAGAUGGAUCCGCGCUGCAUUAGCUAGUUGGUAAGGUAACGGCUUACCAAGGCAACGAUGCAUAGCCGACCUGAGAGGGUGAUCGGCCACACUGGAACUGAGACACGGUCCAGACUCCUACGGGAGGCAGCAGUAGGGAAUCUUCCGCAAUGGGCGAAAGCCUGACGGAGCAACGCCGCGUGAGUGAUGAAGGUCUUCGGAUCGUAAAACUCUGUUAUUAGGGAAGAACAUAUGUGUAAGUAACUGUGCACAUCUUGACGGUACCUAAUCAGAAAGCCACGGCUAACUACGUG
rnacentral:rRNA from 1 species